rnacentral:rRNA from 1 species
UACGAAGGGGGCUAGCGUUGCUCGGAAUCAUUGGGCGUAAAGCGCACGUAGGCGGCCUGAUAAGUCGGGUGUGAAAGCCCUGGGCUCAACCCAGGAAGUGCACUCGAAACUGUCAGGCUUGAAUAUGGAAGAGGGUCGCGGAAUUCCCGAGUGUAGAGGUGAAAUUCGUAGAUAUCGGGAGGAACACCAGUGGCGAAGGCGGCGACCUGGGCCAAUAUUGACGCUGAGGUGCGAAAGCGUGGGGAGCAAACAGG